rnacentral:tRNA from 1 species
CGGGGCGUAGCUCAGCUGGCUAGAGCGCUUGGUUCGGGACCAAGAGGCCAGAGGUUCGAAUCCUCCCGCCCCGA